AUGGCCGUGCGCGCGGACCGGAUGAAGUUGCCAUGGAAACGGAGGGCAACACUGCAAAUGUCACGAGGAAACACCCCGUUUCUCGCUGAUUUCACUGUUUUCAGGAAUGGUUUAAUGUCUUCGAAAAAGUCCGUUAGCAUUUCUACCGUUUUCAGACGACGUAUCGUCAGAAGGGAGUGUCCAAGAUUUCAAUAUUUCUGAAGGGAGCUGCUGACAGAGAUGUAGGAAGCGCUGAAAAGAUUCUUCAGUGCUGAUGGCCUGCUGCAUCCAGCAGAGUCGGAGUGAACCUACUGUAAGACAACAUCUCCAAGAUGCUAUUGACCACAAGACUAGUACAGUAAGUCAAACCUCAAAUAUACAGUACACUAGUGUUCAAAAGCUUGAAGUUGAUACAAUUUGUAAUAAUUAUCUUCUGCUCACCUCUGUAGUAAUUAUUUGAUUAAAAUAUGUAAAAAGAGUAAUAUUGUGAAAUAUUAUUACAAUUUAAAAUAGCUGUUUUCUAUGUGA
ensembl:lncRNA